rnacentral:rRNA from 1 species
ACAAGCGGUGGAGCAUGUGGUUAAUUCGACGCAACGCGAAGAACCUUACCAGGGCUUGACAUCCCUGACUGCGUAUGAAAGUACGUUUUCACCUUCGGGAGACAGGGAGACAGGUGGUGCAUGGUUGUCGUCAGCUCGUGUCGUGAGAUGUUGGGUUAAGUCCCGCAACGAGCGCAACCCCUACGUUUAGUUGCUAACGGGUGAAGCUGAGCACGUCUAGACGAACUGCCGUUGACAAAACGGAGGAAGGUGGGAUGACGUCAAAUCAUCAUGCCCCUUAUGUUCUGGGCUACACACGUGCUACAAUGGCCGGUACAGACGGAGGCGAAGCCGCGAGGCGGAGCAAAUCCGAAAAAGCCGGUCUCAGUUCGGAUUGCAGGCUGCAAUUCGCCUGCAUGAAGUCGGAAUCGCUAGUAAUCGCAGGUCAGCAUACUGCGGUGAAUACGUUCCCGGGCCUU